GGGGGGGAUUCUUUUUAGGGCAGCAUCCAGGGCACAUGGAAGUUCCCAGGCUAGGAAGGGAUUGAACUGGAGCUGCAGCCGCCAGCCUACAUCACAGCCACAGCAACCUGGCAUCUGAGCCGUGUCUGUGACCUACACCACAGCUCAUGGAAACACCGGAUCCUUAACCCACUGAAACUAUUCCAAUGCACUGAAAAGGGUAAGCCAGAUGUAUUUGUUAAGCUCUAAGCUUCAGCACUUUAGUAGUGCUUUACAUGACUUAUCUUGUUUAAUUCUUAUAAUCCGAUGUGCAGGUGAGAGAUUGGAGGCUCAGAGAUGUUAAGCUACUUGCACAAGGCCACACAGCCAGGAAGUGGCAGAGCUAGGGUCAACCCCGGUAGUCUGCACCAGAGCCCAAACCCUUCCAUGAUUCCAUCACCGCACUGUGAGACGCCGAGCGAGCACUGUAGCCUCUCUGGGACUCAGUUUCCCCAUCUGCACAAUGAGCGGAUUGGGCUAGCUGAUCUUUAAGCCCCUUUCCAGCUUGGGCAUACCAUCCUUCUCCUCCCUGGUGACCUGCUUGCAGGUGACAACAAGGAGACCCUCUGGAGACAGCUGGCCUGGAGGAAGGAUGCUAAUGGGGGGACUUCAGGCCCUGUGCUGGGCUGUAGGGAGCUUCUAUUAGGCCAGCUUGGCCCGCUCUCCCAGGGCAGCAAGGCAGGGACAAGAAGCUAUAGGGUUUCUCCCUAGACCAAGAGCCACCAGAAAGUACCAGGACCCCAGGGUGCUCCAGCCCCAGAAACCAGUGAACACUAGUGGGAGGGAGAGGCCAGAGGCGGGCAGCAGCCCCUAAAUCCACCUGAAUGAACAGUGCUUUUAAAAGCCCUUUUCACUACAGGAUACAAAACGCACGUUUGGGGAGAGGAUUUUAUAGGCUAUUUCUCUUCCAGGGUGAUUUACCAUUGGCAGGCCAGGCUCUCCUGGGUAUCCUGCCCCUGCAGGAUCAUGGGAACCCAUGGGGUGGAGUCAAGGUCAAUUUCAAGGCAAGACUGUGGUGGUCCACGGGCUUGUCCUGACCUCCUUCUAGGCAGGUGGCCACUUGGCCUCAGAGACGCAGUGGGCUCUGUGGAGCCAGGAGGUGGAUGCUCGCCCUUCCUCUCCUCUGCCCGCACUCACUCGCUGAAGGCAUGCCCUCCCGGAGGCUGUCACACACCUUCAUCCCACAAGCCCUCAGGUGCCCGCCACAGGUGAGGCCUUGCCCUGAUGCCUGCGGCUCAGAGAAAUCAGAAACAAUUGCUGCCCUUGAGAAAGUCACCAUGUCAGGUGGUAAAGCCACAGCAUCUGUGUUCGGGAGCCUGGGGAGGGGAUGGCUGCAGAAAUGUGGGUUGGGGGUGGCAGGGGGUGCACAGGGAGGGAAGGCACUCUCAAGGAUGGGAAAUGGGGAGGAAGCGUGGGAAAAGGACCAGCCUGUACAAAGGCGCAGAGGCUGGGCCUGGGGACCUCAACACCAGCUGGGGAGCUGGACCGCACCUCCUGGAAGCCAUCUGAGGUGCUGGAGCGGGGCAGGGACAAUCAUGGCCCAUUUUAGAUGCUCUUUAAGCAAUUCCACAGGAAAAGUUACCCAUCCCAAUGCAGGGCCUUGUGUGGGAAACAGAUGCCACUGCUGCCACCUCCAAAGAGGGCCUCCUGGCUUUGGGAACAGUUCCCACAUGAAGAUUUAGAUAUAAUUGUCUGCGAUCCAACCCAAAUGCCACUUGUUGUGACAGAGGCAGUCACUUCU
rnacentral:lncRNA from 1 species